GAAUGUAUAAUUACCUUUUUUUCUUGGAGGAAGCAAUGCAUUGCCUGAGUGACAUCCGUGGCAUGUAUACUGUUGUGCUUGUUUAUAAAGAAAUCGCGGGAUUUAAGUGUCUGCUUACCGAAUAACUUCCAUACUGUUACGACAUCCAAACUGAAGUGUUGAAAAAGUCCAUAACAAUGGAAGAGAUGGACACAUAAUACUGGCAGCGAACGACCUGGAAAUUAAACACGAUAUUACGUGUGGCGAUGAUUUAAUCCGUGGAAUAUGUCGUCCAAGAUACCUGGUUCCUGAUUCAAGGAUCUGGUAGUAAGCUUCUUACGCCGUCUCUUAUGCAUCGUCAGA